UACAGAGGGGGCAAGCGUUAUUCGGAAUUAUUGGGCGUAAAGGGCGCGUAGGCGGCUUUUCAAGUGGCGGGUGAAAUCCCUCGGCUUAACCGAGGAACUGCCUGCCAGACUGGAUGGCUUGAGACCGGGAGAGGUGAGUGGAAUUCCCAGUGUAGCGGUGAAAUGCGUAGAUAUUGGAGGAACACCAGUGGCGAAGGCGGCUCACUGGACCGGUACUGACGCUGAGGCGCGAAAGCGUGGGGAGCAAACAGG
rnacentral:rRNA from 1 species